CCUACGGGAGGCAGCAGUAGGGAAUUUUCGGCAAUGGGGGGAACCCUGACCGAGCAACGCCGCGUGAACGAAGAAGUUAUUCGUAAUGUAAAGUUCUUUUAACAGGGAAGAAAGAGAAAUUUGACGUUACCUGAUGAAUAAGCUUCGGCAAACUACGUGCCAGCAGCCGCUGCAAUACGUGGGGAGCGAGCGUUAUCCGGAAUUAUUGGGCGUAAAGGGUGCGUAGAGGGCAUUGUAAGUCUUUUGUAAAAAUGCGGGGCUCAACCCUGUAGGGCAAACGAUACUGCAAAGCUAGAGUAUAAAAGAGGCAAGUGGAACUAGUUGUGUAGCGGUAAAAUGCGUAGAUAUAUGUAAGAACACCAGUGGCGAAGGCGGCUUGCUGGGUGGAUACUGACGUUGAGGCACGAAAGCGUGGGGAGCGAACAGGAUUAGAUACCCGGGUAGUC
rnacentral:rRNA from 1 species